AAGUCGAACGCUUCUUUCCUCCCGAGUGCUUGCACUCAAUUGGAAAGAGGAGUGGCGGACGGGUGAGUAACACGUGGGUAACCUACCCAUCAGAGGGGGAUAACACUUGGAAACAGGUGCUAAUACCGCAUAACAGUUUAUGCCGCAUGGCAUAAGAGUGAAAGGCGCUUUCGGGUGUCGCUGAUGGAUGGACCCGCGGUGCAUUAGCUAGUUGGUGAGGUAACGGCUCACCAAGGCCACGAUGCAUAGCCGACCUGAGAGGGUGAUCGGCCACACUGGGACUGAGACACGGCCCAGACUCCUACGGGAGGCAGCAGUAGGGAAUCUUCGGCAAUGGACGAAAGUCUGACCGAGCAACGCCGCGUAAGUGAAGAAGGUUUUCGGAUCGUAAAACUCUGUUGUUAGAGAAGAACAAGGACGUUAGUAACUGAACGUCCCCUGACGGUAUCUAACCAGAAAGCCACGGCUAACUACGUGCCAGCAGCCGCGGUAAUACGUAGGUGGCAAGCGUUGUCCGGAUUUAUUGGGCGUAAAGCGAGCGCAGGCGGUUUCUUAAGUCUGAUGUGAAAGCCCCCGGCUCAACCGGGGAGGGUCAUUGGAAACUGGGAGACUUGAGUGCAGAAGAGGAGAGUGGAAUUCCAUGUGUAGCGGUGAAAUGCGUAGAUAUAUGGAGGAACACCAGUGGCGAAGGCGGCUCUCUGGUCUGUAACUGACGCUGAGGCUCGAAAGCGUGGGGAGCAAACAGG
rnacentral:rRNA from 1 species